CCAGCCCUGGUUCAGAUAGUAAGUCUGACAUACAGUUGCUUGAUGUUGAGGACUCGAGGCCGAGUCCUGAGCCAAGACCAGGACAUUCAAACUUGCAACAAGAAAGACAGGCCCCCAAACGGAAAUGUGUUGACGAGGAGCCUUUGAAUAUUGCACAGCAGAGUCUGCUCAACCCCCGUGUAGCCACAGAAGAUCAGUUCGAUUCCUAUGGCAAAACCAUGGCACAUAAGCUCAGGGGCCUUCCUCGUGAACAACGCAUCAUUGCGGAAAAGUUGUGGUCUGAAGUUCUGUUUGAGGCCGAACUUGGGAACCUCACAAGGGAGGCUACAUUAUCUUUAAAUUCCCCUGUUCAUCGAAUCAGACCGCCACAUACAGCACAAGGAGGGAACCAAGAUACCACUGAUGUUGAAAGUCGUGAUUCCGACAAUUUAAAAAGGUAAAUUCUCAAUACCGAGCCAAUAGAGGAAAGCUGCUAGACAGGCUCAAGGCACGCACAAGUAAACGACCUGCAGUUUUUGUUCUUUCGUAUGGUGACACUAGAACUAUUGUCACAUUUAUUAUUAUUUUGGGUUUAUUACAUUUUCGUUCUUAUAAUAAUU